rnacentral:rRNA from 1 species
UGAGGAAUAUUGGACAAUGGGCGCAAGCCUGAUCCAGCCAUGCCGCGUGCAGGAAGACGCAUCUAUGGUGUGUAAACUGCUUUUGUACGGGAAGAAACACUCCUACGUGUAGGAGCUUGACGGUACCGUAAGAAUAAGGAUCGGCUAACUCCGUGCCAGCAGCCGCGGUAAUACGGAGGAUCCAAGCGUUAUCCGGAAUCAUUGGGUUUAAAGGGUCCGUAGGCGGUUUAAUAAGUCAGUGGUGAAAUCUGGUCGCUCAACGAUCAAACGGCCAUUGAUACUGCUAGACUUGAAUUACAAGGAAGUAACUAGAAUAUGUAGUGUAGCGGUGAAAUGCUUAGAUAUUACAUGGAAUACCAAUUGCGAAGGCAGGUUACUACUUGUGGAUUGACGCUGAUGGACGAAAGCGUGGGGAGCGAACAGG